AGAGAGGCCGGCCGCCUGUUGUAGCAGUUUGGCCCAGAACUGCACGUUUGGUGGCGGCAAAUGAGCCAAUCAGAGUCGCCGACCUAGAAACCAAGCGCACGGAUCAAUUUGGGCAGUCAGUACUCCACUCGGUCCAGUGGCAGAAGCAUAAAGUACUAGGCUUGUGGUCCAUUGAUACAAAAGGCCGAAAACGUGCUCCCCCCCCGGCAAGCAGUGUGUUGGCUCGGCGUUUGAGGGAGUGGGGCGACUGAUAGAUGAAAGGAUGAGCGGUCAAUGUUGACGAGGAAGGUAUGAUACGAGCGGACCUGCAGAUUAAUUCAACAGAGAAGAAUUAAAUGCCAGUCAAAGCAUAGAUAUCCAAUGGACUUGGAAAGGAAGCAUCAACAUUGGCGGCCUCUUGUCUGACUCGUAUAUUCCCCAUGAAGCUCUCUCAUCCAUGGACGAUGUUAGUUGAAGCUUACUCUGGUCUAUGGACUUUCUUAGAAGGAAACGAGGCCGACGACAGUUGUUUGGCCCAGAACUGCACGUUUGGUGGCGGGAAGUGAGAGCCAAUCAGUCGCCGACCGAGACAAGAGCACGAAUAAAUGUGGACAGUCUGUGCUCAGUCCAGCGACAGAAACAGUGCUCGGCUCGCUGUGCACAGACAAGUGCUUCGCUCAGUCCAGGGACAUAAACAUAAAUACGAUCACCACAGCAAGCUGUGUAUUAGUUCGGCGUUUGGAAGAGUCGCCUGAGGGAGACGCGUGGAAUUUGUCGACCUUGCAUUGGAAGACGACUUAAAAUUCAUUACGUGGGCAACAGCGCUGGAUGGUGCAGAAAUAUAGUGAUUCAGUCUCUAUUGGUGCGAUAUGAUACUGACUGGUGACGGCAGUGGAUUGACAUCUGCACACACUAUACAUAAAACUAAAUAUAUAUAUAAUUUUUGUUAAAGAAUAUAGUUAAGGUAGUUUGUCUUGGUAAUCAUUUCCCCCGAAGAUUUGAGGAAAUUUAUCAAGUGAAUUAAUGUAUAAUGACUUAUAGUAAAUAUAUAACUUUGGAAAUAGAACAUUUUCUGUAUUUAACUGACAUUGUAAUUAUAAGGUGUGAAGGAUAGAUGAAAUUGUUAAUGUAAUGUCCAUUGAGGUUUGUUGAAGACCUGUUGUGCCCUCUGUAAUCCUUUUUGCGCUACCGCUCACAGGAUGAGCAUGGGGUGCACAAUAAACUAGCGUCCUCCGGCGGCAACAAUGCUGGCCCAUCCUGACUGUGUUUACCUGACGAGAACUGUUCCUGACCAGUACACACGAGACCUCGUUGCGGCAUUGAGGAAAUAGCUGGUGAUUUGUCGAUUCGUCAUCAUUCAUAAAGUGACGUAAGAAGUCAAUCGGCGAUGAAGAUGGUCCAAUUUUUCUUGGCAGAAAUUGUUCAGUGUGAAAAAUUUAGAUAGCGAAGCUUAAUUAGUUGAAUGGUACUUGUAAAUAAAUCUUGUAUGAGGACCAACAUCUUGCUACUAAUAAAGGAAAUACCUGGUACAUGUAAUUAAAGUAUUAGAUGUAUUGUCUAAAAUCAGAGUUAGCGUUUUCACUUUACGUACAUGUAAAAAGUAUUUAUUUUGCCCUAUAUUAACUUUCUUGCCAUGGUGACUUUUGAUAAUACUUUAUUUACCCUGCAAAGGUCAAUAUUUAAAUGUCUCAAGUGUUAAAUUACUAAAAUCUGUAAUGUUUUAAGUAUGGUAGGCAGUGUAAACAGUGGUUGUUACCAGUAAUUAUAAUUCAAUUCUGGGGCCCCUCUAAUAUUUGAGAGGGCUCCUUGGUGCUGCGUAUUGGAAAGGGCUCGUAUUACCAUUCUUGGUGAUAUUUAGCGCCCUCUGAUUCUCCCGCACAUUUGAUGGUGCUACAUAGCCUUCCCGGUUUGGUGCCUUCUUUUGAUAAUUACUUACUUGAUAAUUACCUUACCUUCAGGUAGUACAUUGACCUACAUACAAGUAGGCAACAUAUACCUACCUACAUUAAUAGUAGGUACAACAGAAAAGUUACCUACUAUUGGUGGCAACACUUGGCUUGCAAUGCCAAGUGUUGUAACGCCUAGCUUGUAAGUGGGAGCUAAGUUUCAGGUCUGUGUCCGUCCUAUUUCCGUUUCCCCCCCCCCCCUGUUACCUUGACCCCCUCCUUGUUGCCCCAUGAAUCUUCCCAUUGUGAUAAUAAAGAGGUACACGAA